rnacentral:rRNA from 1 species
AUUGAACGCUGGCGGCAGGACUAACACAUGCAAGUCGAGCGAGCGGCGGACGGGUGAGUAAUGUAUGGGAAACUGCCCGAAGGAGGGGGAUAACUACGGGAAACGGUAGCUAAUACCGCAUACCAUCAGAUGUGCCCAGAUGGGAUUAGCUAGUAGGUGGGGUAACGGCUAACCUAGGCGACGAUCCCUAGCUGGUCUGAGAGGAUGACCAGCCACCCUGGAACUGAGACACGGUCCAGGCUCCUACGGUAGGCAGCGGUGGGGAUUAUUGCACAAUGGGCGCAUGCCUGUUGCAGCCAUGCCGCGUGUGUGAAGAAGGCCUUCGGGUUGUAAAGCAUUUGCAGCGUGGAGACGUUACCCGCGGAAGAAGCACCGGCUAACUCCGUGCCAGCAGCGCGGUAAUUC